rnacentral:tRNA from 3 species
GCUGGUGUGGCUCAAUGGCAGAGCAGCUCAUUCGUAAUGAGCAGGUUGUCGGUUCGAUUCCGACCACCAGCUCCA